rnacentral:lncRNA from 1 species
GCGGGGAUAAAGAAGUAGCAGUCAAACUAGAGGAACUAAUACUAGCAGCAGGAAGCAAAGGUGGUGGAACUUCAGGCAAGUUUGAAGCUCCAGUAGGUAAGGAGGGAGUAAAAUUGGGGUACUGCAGUGGCUGCUGCAGUGAAGAAGGCAUUGGCUGCUGCAGUGAAGAAGGUAUUGACAGCCCAGGUGGUGGUCGAAGCAAUGACUGCUGGUGUAAAUGAGGUAGCCCAUUUGGAGGGCCAUAGUAUCCUUGCCAAUACAUUGGCAUACCAUUUGCACUUGGAGGAGGCGGCGUACCACCCCAUGACGCUAAAUUGCCU